CUUAAUGUUAACGUUACUUUUCUUCUUUGCACAGAUAGCGUUCAUCUAUGGAGAAAGAUAAAGGGUCCUUUGGUGUGCCUUUUAUUGACGAAAGAGUCACUUGCAACAUUAGACGAUGGAAUGUGGCUGAAUGACAUUGUCAUGGACAUUGUAUUGAGGUCUGUUCAUGAUGAACUAGGACGUCAUAAAAGACGGAAAUCUUUGAUCUACCCAGUGCAUUUUUACACUAAAUUGAAAAACAGUGGAUUUUCAGGUGUCGUCAACUGGACAAAACAUGAGGAAAUUUUUCGAAAGGACUAUCUUUUGAUAGUCGAGAACGUUCUUGGGUGAGAACUUUACAUUAUUUACUGGUUGUUAUGACUUAUUACACAGCUAAGA